rnacentral:tRNA from 1 species
AUUUAAAUAGCUUAUAAAAUAGAGUGUAAUAUUGAAGCUAUUAAGGAAAUAUUAAAAUAUUUUUAAAUA